AUUGAACGCUGGCGGCAUGCCUUACACAUGCAAGUCGAACGGUAACAGGUCUUCGGAUGCUGACGAGAGGCGAACGGGUGAGUAAUGCAUCGGAACGUGCCCAGACGUGGGGGAUAACUGCUCGAAAGAGCAGCUAAUACCGCAUACGACCUGAGGGUGAAAGCGGGGGACCGUAAGGCUUCGCGCGAUUGGAGCGGCCGAUGUCAGAUUAGCUAGUUGGUGGGGUAAAGGCCUACCAAGGCAACGAUCUGUAGUUGGUCUGAGAGGACGACCAGCCACACUGGGACUGAGACACGGCCCAGACUCCUACGGGAGGCAGCAGUGGGGAAUUUUGCGCAAUGGGGGAAACCCUGACGAAGCAACGCCGCGUGGAGGAUGAAGGCCUUCGGGUCGUAAACUCCUGUCGACCGGGACGAACGUAGCGGAGUCUAAUACCCACUUCUAUCGACUGUACCGGUGGAGGAAGCCACGGCUAACUCUGUGCCAGCAGCCGCCGUAACAC
rnacentral:rRNA from 1 species